AUAUAUUAUUAUUAUUGGAAUUUUUUCAGAUACGUGACCAAGUUGGAGUUUGGAUGUCUGUUCUUUGACUUCUUUCACUUGGAAAAUUCAAGGGGUAGAUUGACCAGUCAAAACUUUGUUUAUCAGAUUUACUACGUACACGACAAACACCAACCACGUAACUUUUUCAGAUAAAGUUAAACUGGGAGUUUGAAUAUGCGUUCUUUCACUUAGAAAAUUAAGUGGUAGAGCGAGCUGUUCCUUUUUGAAAACUUGUGAGUUAAAAUAAUGUGACCCAAGAGGUAAUACAAAAAUUAACUUUAAACUUAUGUUAUUAUAGACUAAUAUAAAAA
rnacentral:lncRNA from 1 species